rnacentral:rRNA from 1 species
GAUGAACGCUAGCGGCAGGCUUAAUACAUGCAAGUCGAGGGGCAGCAUGACUGUAGCAAUACAGUUGAUGGCGACCGGCAAACGGGUGCGGAACACGUACAGAACCUUCCUUCGAGCGGGGAAUAGCCCAGAGAAAUUUGGAUUAAUACCCCAUAGUACAACGGAGUGGCAUCACUUUGUUGUUAAAGAUUUAUCACUUGAAGAUGGCUGUGCGGCUGAUUAGGUAGUUGGCGGGGUAACGGCCCACCAAGCCUGCGAUCAGUAACUGGUGUGAGAGCACGACCAGUCACACGGGCACUGAGACACGGGCCCGACUCCUACGGGAGGCAGCAGUAAGGAAUAUUGGUCAAUGGACGAAAGUCUGAACCAGCCAUGCCGCGUGGAGGAUGAAGGUCCUCUGGAUUGUAAACUUCUUUUAUAUGGGACGAAAAAAGGGUUUUCUAACUCGUCUGACGGUACCAUAUGAAUAAGCACCGGCUAACUCCGUGCCAGCCGCCGCCGUAAGAC